GGGUCAGUAGGUUGGUCGUGCCACUGGUACGUACUGGCCUCACUGAUUCCUCCUUCCUGAAGAACCGUAAUGCCAUUAAUUUGGUGUUGCGGGGAAACAGGACUGUUACUUUGAAAAAAUUAGAGUGUUUAAAGCAAGCUAACGCUUGAAUACAUUAGCAUGGAAUAAUGAAAUAGGACGAUCGAUCCUAUUUUGUUGGUUUCUAGGAUUGACGUA
rnacentral:rRNA from 1 species